rnacentral:rRNA from 1 species
UACGUAGGUGGCAAGCGUUAUCCGGAAUGAUUGGGCGUAAAGGGUGCGUAGGCGGCAAAAUAAGUCUGAAGUAAAAGGCGUUGGCUCAACCAACGUAAGCUUUGGAAACUGUUAAGCUAGCGUGCAGGAGAGGUUAGUGGAAUUCCAUGUGUAGCGGUAAAAUGCGUAGAUAUAUGGAGGAACACCAGUGGCGAAGGCGGCUAACUGGCCUGUAACGGACGCUGAGGCACGAAAGCGUGGGGAGCAAAUAGG